UUCCUCCUGGGAGGUGGGACAUGCCCCUGCCCACUGCUCCACAGAGAAUCCCCUCCUCAACACAUGUGGUCACCUCUGAGCACCUGCCUUCUUCUUCCUCUGAUCCCGGAAGCUACAGGAAGCUUCUCAUGUGACCAACUGUUACAGCUACCAGGUGUUCUCAAAUCUGAACUGUUACAGCUGCCAGGUGUUCUCAGAUCUGAACUGUUACAGCUGCCAGGUGUUCACAAACCCGCAAGGCAGAGCGGGCUUGUCUUCCUU